UACGGAGGGUGCAAGCGUUGUCCGGAUUUAUUGGGUUAAAGGGUGCGUAGGCGGCGUAGUAAGUCCGUGGUGAAAGCCAACAGCUCAACUGUUGAACUGCCAUGGAUACUGCUAGGCUUGAGUACAGACGAGGUAGGCGGAAUGGAUAGUGUAGCGGUGAAAUGCAUAGAUACUAUCCAGAACACCGAUUGCGAAGGCAGCUUACUAGACUGUAACUGACGCUGAGGCACGAAAGCGUGGGGAGCGAACAGG
rnacentral:rRNA from 1 species